rnacentral:lncRNA from 1 species
AUACAGCCUCCAUCCCAUAUACCAACGAGAAAGGAGUUGCCCCAGUAGGCGCACCAAGGUUCGAUACCCAGGAUACAGACUUCGUACUCAGCCACCAUUGUUGGUGUAUUCAUAUGCUAUCCGGGCAACAAAAGCUCAUCCACCUUAACCCCCCCAUCAGACAUCAGAAUCCGUUCGGAUUCAGGGUCAGGCCCCUCCUCCGGGAUCGGUUACUCUCAAUCUUUCGAUUGGAGCACCUCGAGAUGUCCUCAUCAGGGAACUCAAAC